GAUGAAGACCGUAGCGAAAUGCGAUAAGUAGUGUGAAUUGCAGAAUUCAGUGAAUCAUCGAGUCUUUGAACGCACAUUGCGCCCCCUGGUAUUCCGGGGGGCAUGCCUGUCCGAGCGUCAUUGCUGCCCUCAAGCACGGCUUGUGUGUUGGGCCCCGUCCUCCGAUCCCGGGGGACGGGCCCGAAAGGCAGCGGCGGCACCGCGUCCGGUCCUCGAGCGUAUGGGGCUUUGUCACCCGCUCUGUAGGCCCGGCCGGCGCUUGCCGAUCAACCCAAAUUUUUAUCCAGGUUGACCUCGGAUCAGGUAGGGAUACCCGCUGAACUUAAGCAUAUCAAUAAGCGGAGGA
rnacentral:misc_RNA from 1 species